UGCGCGCGCUUCGGCGGCAAGCUCAGAGGCCAGAAGGGGAGGUGGGAGAGGGAGGGGGAGGACUUCGGCGCAGGCGCAGUGAGCCGUCUCCUGGCCCGCUGGACAGCGGCUGUCUGGCUGUUGGCCAUGGUCCGGGAGCGGACUGGGGAACUGGAGCCCCCAAGAGAGUGACUCCUCGAGGCCGAUCUUUCCAGGUCACCAGGUUGGAACAAGCACCUACUGCAAGGACAGAUACUGAAACCCCCUCCAGGUGGGAGAAGCUGACAGUGAACGAUGGUAUGCUGCCCUCGAGCAUGCAGACCCCAGACCAGUUGGAACCUGAAGGUUGAUGGUGCUGACUUCCACUCACCUCAUGACCAACCCCUCAGAAGAAUAUCCACAAGCUGAUCAUGCCCUCUUUGAACCAUUACUGUAAAACUUCUCACUGUCCUCUCUAAGUGGGGACAUGUAGAUUUUCAAGGCAGGAGCCCACUGUGUCCCCCUUUGCCUGGCAAAGUAAUAAAGCUCUCCUUUUCUACUUUA